UGCAGAUCAGUCAGAAA
rnacentral:misc_RNA from 1 species